UGUGACUGUCACCCUGCUGUACCAAAGUCCUUGGGCAUAUUUCCCUGUCACUCCCCAUUGCUUCAUUGUUCUUCCUUGGAGAGUUACAUCUGUCGCCAUGAGAAAAGGAUGUGGGAGUGAUGGCUGCCAUGCAUCCUGGUUACUGAGAUGAGAGCUCCCCACAGGAGGAAGUGGAGCAGGGACUUGGAAACAGUCCCUACUGUGGUCAGUGCCUGCCGAGGGCUUGACGAAACCACAGAGGAGGGGAAUUGAACCUGCACGUUGUUUAGAUUUCUGUUUAUGCUUCUGAAACAAAUCAUAACCCAUAUGAGGUUUGUAUCUGGCUAGCCAUCUUCAGAAUUGCACGGAUAACCCCUGGAUGUGAUGUUUAAACAGAACAGAGGUCUGAAAAGGCAGUCUUUCUCACCAC